rnacentral:rRNA from 1 species
CAGCCGCCACGGUAAUACGAGGGGGGCAAGCGUUGUUCGGAAUUAUUGGGCGUAAAGGGCGCGUAGGCGGUUUGGCAAGUUUCGUGUGAAAUCUUCGGGCUCAACUCGAAGUCUGCACGGAAAACUGCCGGGCUUGAGUAUGGAAGAGGUGAGUGGAAUUUCCGGUGUAGCGGUGAAAUGCGUAGAGAUGUGGAGGAACACCAGUGGCGAAGGCGACUCUCUGGUCUGUAACUGACGCUGAGGAGCGAAAGCGUGGGGAGCGAACAGGAUUAGAGACCCCGGUAGUCCCUGUCUCUUAUAC